rnacentral:rRNA from 1 species
UACGUAGGUGGCAAGCGUUGUCCGGAUUUACUGGGCGUAAAGAGCGCGCAGGCGGUCGUUCAAGUCGCGUGUGAAAGCCCCCGGCUCAACUGGGGAGGGUCACGCGAUACUGAUCGACUCGAAGGCAGGAGAGGGUAGUGGAAUUCCCGGUGUAGUGGUGGAAUGCGUAGAUAUCGGGAAGAACACCAGUGGCGAAAGCGGCUCUCUGGGGACCACCUGACGCUGAGGCGCGAAAGCGUGGGGAGCGAACCGG